GGAAUGUGUUUUGAUUUAUCUUGUCUCCUUUUUCUGCCCAUCCCGAGUGCAGCACAGAGGGCAAUGCAGCCUUGGAGAAUGACCAGCGAAACAGCCGUGGAUAUACUGAUAUUCGUGAGAGCCGCCUGAGAAGCUGUAGGCUGCAAUCACUUAUACAGCUCCCCUGUGUUUAUGAUUUCGGAGCAGAAGUGUUUCCAACUUUGCCAUCUUUAAGACUUAUGGACUUCAACUCCCAGAAUUCUCCAGUCAGCAUGGACCUUGAAGAAGGCACGUGAAUAACUUACGCAUAAGACAAUAGAGGCUGACAUAUGGUGUUGGACAAAGCAAGCAAAUUUCUGUGAAAUGCCUUCCGGCAGCCUGGAGAUUACAUUCCAAAAAGAAUGCUGCUGUUUUAAGAAAGGAUAUAUCAUCGUCUUGAUAUCCCUUCUUUCUGACGACUGGUGUGCGGAUGUGUAAAAAUACAGCCAUCUCUAUUGUUCAUGUGAGUGCUAUUGCAGUUUGGCAUGCAUACCCCUGAAAUUCUGAAAAGAUGCAAGUUUGAAAACAGAAAAUGUCUGUCUGUAUUAUUCAUGGAUAUAUGCACCAUUGCAAAUUAAGUAUAUUUUUC